AGCCACUGGAUUUUUUUCUUAAGUUGCUAUUUUUGUUAUCCAUGCUUAAAAGUUCUGCCGUCAAAAUUUGUGGCAGCAUUUUAUGUCUGUUUUCACAGGUGUCUUAUUUUAGUGUCGGCUGCCCACCAAAUCGCCACAUUCGUUUUGCCAGGCCCUGGGGAAUGGAAUGUGACAUGCACACUUUCCAUAACUACACCAUCCCUAGAUUUGCUAAUGAUGAUGACAUGGUUAUAUAUGACUGGAAAAGUUGGGGCUGUGUGUUGAAAAUACACUUCCAAUCUGCUUUCAAACCUGCCUUGGAUCUGUAAGUCGUAAC